rnacentral:rRNA from 1 species
GGAGGCUGCAGUGGGGAAUAUUGCGCAAUGGGCGAAAGCCUGACGCAGCGACGCCGCGUGAGGGAUGAAGGCCUUCGGGUUGUAAACCUCUUUCAGCAGGGACGAAGCGAGAGUGACGGUACCUGCAGAAGAAGCACCGGCCAACUACGUGCCAGCAGCCGCGGUAAUACGUAGGGUGCAAGCGUUGUCCGGAAUUAUUGGGCGUAAAGAGCUCGUAGGCGGUCUGUCGCGUCGGCUGUGAAAACUCGGGGCUCAACCCCGAGCCUGCAGUCGAUACGGGCAGACUAGAGUGCUGUAGGGGAGACUGGAAUUCCUGGUGUAGCGGUGAAAUGCGCAGAUAUCAGGAGGAACACCGGUGGCGAAGGCGGGUCUCUGGGCAGUAACUGACGCUGAGGAGCGAAA